rnacentral:siRNA from 1 species
UGAACUGAUUCUGGAGCAGUGGUA